rnacentral:piRNA from 1 species
UAGCAAGCUGCUUAGUUCAGUUUGGGUGU